GUAGAAGUAGUUUAAAAAAAAUAUAGAUUUUGUAAAUCUAAGAUAUUUAUUCUUCU
rnacentral:tRNA from 1 species